AAUGGGCGACAGCCUGACGCAGCGACGCCGCGUGGGGGAUGAAGGUCUUCGGAUUGUAAACCCCUUUCGGCAGGGAAGAUGGAACGGGUAACCGUUCGGACGGUACCUGCAGAAGCAGCCACGGCUAACUUCGUGCCAGCAGCCGCGGUAAUACGAAGGAGGCAAGCGUUGUUCGGAUUUACUGGGCGUACAGGGAGCGUAGGCGGUUGGGUAAGCCCUCCGUGAAAUCUCCGGGCCUAACCCGGAAAGUGCGGAGGGGACUGCUCGGCUAGAGGAUGGGAGAGGAGCGCGGAAUUCCCGGUGUAGCGGUGAAAUGCGUAGAGAUCGGGAGGAACACCGGUGGCGAAGGCGGCCCCCUGGAUCAUGACUGACGCUGAGGUGCGAAAGCGUGGGUAGCAAA
rnacentral:rRNA from 1 species